rnacentral:rRNA from 1 species
UGGGGAAUAUUGCGCAAUGGGCGAAAGCCUGACGCAGCAACGCCGCGUGAGUGAUGAAGGCCUUCGGGUCGUAAAGCUCUGUCGGAGGGAACGAAUGCUCCUGAAGUUAACAGCCUCAGGAGGUGACGGUACCCUCAAAGGAAGCACCGGCUAACUCUGUGCCAGCAGCCGCGGUAAUACAGAGGGUGCAAGCGUUGUUCGGAAUCAUUGGGCGUAAAGCGCACGUAGGCGGACUGAUAAGUCAGGGGUGAAAUCCCGGGGCUCAACCUCGGAACUGCCUUUGAUACUGUUAGUCUCGAGUCCGGAAGAGGUGAGUGGAAUUCCUAGUGUAGAGGUGAAAUUCGUAGAUAUUAGGAAGAACACCAGUGGCGAAGGCGGCCACCUGGUUGGAUACUGACGCUGAGACGCGAAAGCGUGGGGAGCAAACAGGAUUAGAUACCCCUGUAGUCCCUGAGCGGGCUGGCAAGGCGCAU